UACAGAUCAACCGGAAUUUCAGUUUUCAGGCGGAAGCACUGACAUUGGGUCGUCACUUCCACCCACUGCGCCAUCCUCUUCUUAUCAAAACACCACGUGUUUUUCACUGAACACAUUGUAACAGUUAAUAAAUUAGUGAUUGAUGACUAUUUGCGAUUUCCACUUUGAACAUCUCUGUAAAUAUUGUAUAUAUGUAAGAUAAGAAGACACUCUCCGUGUAGUCUGGAUGUCAUAUGGACUUAAAAGCGAAAGGGAGAAAAGCGGAAUACCGUAGCAGUCGUGGCCGAGUGGUUAAGGCGUCUGACUAGAAAUCAGAUUCCCUCUGGGAGCGUAGGUUCGAGUCCUACCGACUGCGGAAGGUUGGUCAAUUAAUUUUUUUUGCGUAACAUGUAACUAUAAAUUACUAAAGUAACACGCUUUUUUAUAAUAUAUGUAAUAUAAAUAUAAGUAAGGUAAUUAUCUAAAGAAAUAAUUUUUUAUAUAAUGGAAGAUAAUACAAUGUUCAAUACAGCUUGGUCUCAUCACUUAACGCUUAGCUUGGUAUCUCGGAAGUUGUAUAUCCAAUUUUUAACCACUUAAAUUUCGAAAACAGUAUUACAGAUUGCAAAUAGUGAAUGACUUUUUGGUUUGCCUUAACAUAGAGAAUCUGCAAUGUAAAUCUCUUUUGAGCCGUUGUACAUUUAAAAAAAUGAUACAUGUAUAUUAUAUUUGAUUUCCCGAUAUUAAUAAAUAAUUUCAGCUUACAAAUAAUAAAGAAACUUGCAACUAAUAGGCGCCGUGGCUUAGUUGGUUAAAGCGCCUGUCUAGUAAACAGGAGAUCGGGGGUUCGAAUCCCCCCGGUGCCUUUGAUGGUACAUUUAAUAGUUUUGUUUUUAACAUAACUUAUUAUUUUUUCACAA